GCAUGGAUGCCUGAGUGGUGAAAGGGGCGGUCUGCAAAACCGUUAGUCGUGAGUUCGAUUCUCACUCUAUGCUC
rnacentral:tRNA from 1 species